CCCACCAUGGCCUGGAUGGCGCUUUUUCUUGGGCUCCUCACUCUCUGCUCAGGGGCUGGUUCUCAGGCGACAGUGACCCAGGAACGGUCACUGUCAGUGUCUCCGGGAGGGACAGUCACCCUCACUUGUGGCCUUGGAACUGGGUCUGUCUCUACCAGUCACUACCCCAACUGCUACCAGCAGACACCAGACCAGCCCUUCCGCACACUGAUCUACCACACCAACAGCCGUCCCUCUGGGGUCCCCGAUCGCUUCACUGGGUCCCUCAUGGGGAACAAAGCCACCCUCACCAUCAUGGGGGCUCAGAUUGAGGACGACGCUGAGUAUAUCUGCGAGUUGCACAUGGGCAGUUGUCAUACACAGUGAUUGACGGCCAUGAA